rnacentral:tRNA from 1 species
GAAAUAAAUAGCUAAAUUUUAAGUUUAUUGGUUACAUCAAUGAGAUACUGUAAAGUUUUAUUU